UCCGCGGCGGCAGCGGAGGCGGCGGUCGGCGGAGGCGGCGCUCGGACGGCGGCUUGGCGGCUGCGCUUCUCCUGCUGCUGGCUCUUGCGCUGCCCGGCGUGUGCGGAGACUCUGCGGCUGGGAAAAACCCAGAGGAGGGGGCCUGAGACCUCAGGGAGUGGCUGGAAAGCCAGAGGCCUGUCCUGAAACCCAAACCCAGGGAAGCUGAACACCUUCUGUGUCAUUGACAUCGUGGAAUGGAGACUGUGGAUGUAAAAGAGAAGUCCCAGGACAGAAGGCAGGUGAGAGAAGGGAAGAACCCAGAGGAGGGGGCCUGAGACCUCAGGGAGUGGCUGGAAAGCCAGAGGCAUGUCCUGAAACCGAAACCCAGGGAAGCUGAACACCUCCUGUGUCAACAUCGUGGAAUGGAGACUGUGGACGUAAAAGAGCAGUCCCGGGACUGAAGUCAGGUGAAAGAAGCUCUAGACUCGGCCACUUCAUCGAGGAACCCUAGUGUCUUCAUCAGAGAACGCUAUUUAGAAGCCAAGAUCUGGAUGGAAAAGGAAAGGAAGAAAUUGAUCCAUUUAAACAGCUCAGAAGAACAGGCAGAGGCUGCCUGCUUUCCCUGGAGUUGAGAGUAAUGCAGACGCAACAGGUCAAACACAUUCUGUUGACCUGCUGGGAGGUUCCCAGGGACAGACCUUCAGUCCUACACACCCUCACCUUCCCAUUUGCAGUUUGGAUGAAUGCUCUCUGGCUGGGUUUCAGUGUUCACAAAAAAGACAUCUCUCACCUGGAAUCAAGUUACUGCUGCAAUUUAAUCAAAUGUGGUCCAGAAGGACAAAACCCUUCCUCUAAGUCUGGCUGCACCCUGAUUUUCUCAGUUCCCACAAAGCACACACACUCUGGAUCAACAUAUACUAUGAAUCCCAAACCAGAAAGCCAGACCCAGCUAGCAACAGCCAUAAGAUGACCAUAAUGACAACAGCACACCUAAGGGGACUUCCUGUUUCCCCAAGGACAAUGACUUGAGGUCAUUAUCCUGUGGGAGAAGGGUCCUUCUUUCUAGGCCAGGGCUGAAGAUGAACCUCAAACCUUCAUUGUUUACCCUCUUUUUCUACUUCCUUCCCGGUGGUGACAGACAGACUUCACACAGACAUGUGACUGCUUGAAUGCAGCUUCCCCCUCUCUGCAGCCUCUGGUGGAGAUGGGCUCCCAUGCUGUACUCACCAUCCCACUGGGACUAGCUUCCUGAGGUCUCUAUUUGUGUCUUCCAUGUACCCCAAAGAUAAAAGCAGUCAAGGGUAUGCGGGGGUGGUGGUGGUGGAGAGUCAGGGACACUAAGAGUGAGUUUGGGCCAGACGGAAAAAAAUAAGAGUUGCAGGGGGUAGGUGGUGGUGCUGCCCUUGGAAAGAGGAGCCUCUCAGACCAGCUCUUUGUCCUGACAUGUAACAGGCCCCGGCCUCCUCCCAGAUCUCUUGCCCAGGGAAUUUACGUUCAAUGACCUCGACGUCCCCAACUUCCAGGGAAGGAGGGAUUUCGGAGAGGAGUCAAUACACAGUAUGGAGGAGGUGUCUGCCUUCAACUCCAUCCAAGGAUGCCACAUCGUCCCCUAACCUGGAACUUACCCCUCCAUGAGAAUAUUUUCAUUUUAUGCAGAAUUAUCUCUUCAGCCAUUCCCAACAGGCCAGCCGUUCACUAUCACUUGGAGCUAAGCAGGGAUCUCCAGCUCUGCCUCCGCUCCCACCAGACUCUCAACCUGCACCCUCCGAUCAGCACAGUUGCCAGCUGUCUCUGACUCCUGGAUCCCCCGGGUCAACAGAAUAACAGCCAACCCUCCAAAUAAAAAA